UUGAUUCUAAUUUCAUAUUCAGACACAAACUGAUUCCAGCAUAAAAGCGGCGCUCUAGGGCGCCGAAGCACAUCUAGCUUCCACAGGUUUGAAGGGUAGAAAGGUCAAAAGACCAUUCAUUAAUGAUCCCUCCGCAGGUUCACCUACGGAGA
rnacentral:misc_RNA from 1 species